rnacentral:rRNA from 1 species
UCCGUAGGUGAACCUGCGGAGGGAUACUUA